AUGUAUUUCCGCUGGCAUGUACAGAAUGAAAACUUCAUUCUCGAUUCUACGAGAAUUUUUAUGAAAGCGUUUCAUUUGCUUCUCUUCAAUGGAAGUUUCAUUUUCCCAGAAUGUAUCCUAAUUUUUGGCCUAAUUCUUCUUCUGAUGAUCGAUUCAACCUCUGAUCAAAAACCUCAACAAGGGAAGCACCAGCCUUUUCUUUUUCUUCUUGUUCCCAAUUCACUACUAAGCAAGUUCUAA
rnacentral:rRNA from 1 species